rnacentral:rRNA from 1 species
ACUCAAAGGAAUAGACGGGGGCUCACACCAGCGGUGGAGCAUGUGGCUUAAUUCGAGGCUACGCGAAGAACCUUAUCCUAGGUUUGACAUGCAGGAAGUAGUCCGUUUGAAAGAUCGGGCGGCCGGUAUCCAAUCCGGAGACCUGCACAGGUGCUGCAUGGCUGUCGUCAGCUCGUGUUGUGAGAUGUCGGGUUAAGUCCCUUAACGAGCGAAACCCUUGUCUCUAGUUACCAGCGGGUAAAGCCGGGAACUCUAGAGAGACUGCCGGUGUUAAGCCGGAGGAAGGUGGGGAUGACGUCAAGUCCUCAUGGCCUUUAUGCCUAGGGCUGCACACGUGCUACAAUGGGAGAUACAAAGGGAAGCAAGGCCGCGAGGCGGAGCAAAUCCCAAAAAAUCUCCCCCAGUUCAGAUUGCAGGCUGCAACUCGCCUGCAUGAAGAUGGAAUCGCUAGUAAUCGCAGGUCAGCCAUACUGCGGUGAAUGUGUUCCUGAGCCUUGUACACACCGCCCGU